UACGUAGGGUGCAAGCGUUGUCCGGAAUUAUUGGGCGUAAAGAGCUCGUAGGCGGUGUGUCGCGUCGGCCGUGAAAACCUGCAGCUUAACUGUGGGCUUGCGGUCGAUACGGGCAUCACUGGAGUUCGGCAGGGGAGACUGGAAUUCCUGGUGUAGCGGUGAAAUGCGCAGAUAUCAGGAGGAACACCGGUGGCGAAGGCGGGUCUCUGGGCAGAUACUGACGCUGAGGAGCGAAAGCGUGGGGAGCGAACAGG
rnacentral:rRNA from 1 species